UGGGGAAUAUUGCACAAUGGGCGCAAGCCUGAUGCAGCCAUGCCGCGUGUGUGAAGAAGGCCUUCGGGUUGUAAAGCACUUUCAGCGGGGAGGAAGGCGAUAAGGUUAAUAACCUUGUCGAUUGACGUUACCCGCAGAAGAAGCACCGGCUAACUCCGUGCCAGCAGCCGCGGUAAUACGGAGGGUGCAAGCGUUAAUCGGAACUACUGGGCGUAAAGCGCACGCAGGCGGUUUGUUAAGUCAGAUGUGAAAUCCCCGGGCUCAACCUGGGAACUGCAUCUGAUACUGGCAAGCUUGAGUCUCGUAGAGGGGGGUAGAAUUCCAGGUGUAGCGGUGAAAUGCGUAGAGAUCUGGAGGAAUACCGGUGGCGAAGGCGGCCCCCUGGACGAAGACUGACGCUCAGGUGCGAAAGCGUGGGGAGCAAACAGG
rnacentral:rRNA from 1 species